rnacentral:misc_RNA from 1 species
UCAUAUUUCUUUUUUUUUUUUUUUGCCAUCUUGUCUUUCGAAACUAACCCUCAACUGUAGAGGAUUCUAAAUACAAGAUAGUGUCGUGGACUGUUUUCUCAAGAAAAUAUGGAUGUUUUUGUGAGCUUUGUUCUACCAACUUUUUUAUUUAUUUAUUAUUUUUUUGAUAGAGCUUACUUCUUUUUAGGCUUAGGUGUUUUGGGUGGUUUUACUGGCAUAAAGUUGUUUGGAGCUUAUCCUCUCAGUUUCUUAAUUUAUUUUCUCUUUAAUAAUAAAAUCUCUUGCUUAAAAAAUAGCUAAUUACACUAAUUCUUCAGGCAAAUAAGUUGUUAGCAAUCAAAUGAUUCUGAUUUAUCCAUCUAGCUUUUAGAUUUUCCAUGUCGUAAUUGUGAGAGAUUUUUUAUGAAUCUGUUUUAUCUUGUCCUGUUUAUGAAUCUCGAAUGCAGAACUCUAAAUAGAGGGAAGGGAUUAAAGUAUUUGGGAAGUUUGUGAAAUUACUAAUUUAUCCUUGAAAAAUUUUGGAAUUUUAGGAUCCCAGUGCCCCCCUUCCCCUAGGAUGCUUCCGUCUCCUUGCUCAAUGGGUAUCGUAAGUUCCAACUGGGGUUACUAAUUUGGUUCAACCUCCUGGGCUUCAGCAAUGACUCCAUGAUAGCUUGGGCUUAGCUGUUUGCCGUGUCGUAGUUGGGUGUGCUUAGAGCUUCGGCUCUUUUCAGUAAUUGCCAAAAAAUAAAAAAAUAAAAUGUCCCGCCAGUUGACAUCAGUCAGCACCGGUAAUUUUGUUCAAAAAUAAAAGUCUACAUCGGUAAUCGCAGCCUAACUAUUCUAGAUUGAAUUUGACGGUUUCGGGUUACAUUGUUGAAAAGAGAGAGAGAGAGAGAG